rnacentral:rRNA from 1 species
ACGCACGCUGGCGGCAUGCCUAACACAUGCAAGUCGAACGAGACCUUCGGGUCUAGUGGCGCACGGGUGCGUAACGCGUGGGAACCUGCCCUUAGGUUCGGAAUAACUCCCCGAAAGGGGUGCUAAUACCGGAUAAUGUCUUCGGACCAAAGAUUUAUCGCCUUUGGAUGGGCCCGCGUUGGAUUAGCUAGUUGGUAGGGUAAAAGCCUACCAAGGCGACGAUCCAUAGCUGGUCUGAGAGGAUGAUCAGCCACACUGGGACUGAGACACGGCCCAGACUCCUACGGGAAGCAGCAGUGGGGAAUAUUGGACAAUGGGCGAAAGCCUGAUCCAGCAAUGCCGCGUGAGUGAUGAAGGCCUUAGGGUUGUAAAGCUCUUUUACCCGGGAUGAUAAUGACAGUACCGGGAGAAUAAGCUCCGGCUAACUCCGUG